AAGAUGACAAGCACUUUGAAAAGAGGGUGAAAAGAGCCUGAAACCGUCACGGGGGAAGCGGAUUGCGUUGGAUUGAUGGGCGCUUGUGUGUUCAGCCUUCGGGUGCAUUGGCACAAGUGCUUAUCCGCUGUGAGUUUUCGGGGGUCGAUUUUGGACCCCUGGGGACUGAGGGCUCCCUUCUUUUAGGUGAGGACAGCGGAGUGACGACGCGAUACGACCCGUCUUGAAACACGGACCAAGGAGUCUAGCGCGGGUGCGAGUCGGAGGGUGCAAGCCCGUGGGCGAAGUGAAAGCGAGUUUUAAAAACGAGCAGUUUGGGGCGGCAUAAGAUCGUUGAUCUUAAGACCGACCCGGAGCAGUUGCGCUGGGACCCGAAAGAUGGUGAACUAUGCCGGAGUAGGGCAAAGCCAGAGGAAACUCUGGUGGAGGCUCGUAGCGGUGCUGACGUGCAAAUCGCUCGUCGAACUUGGGUAUAGGGGCGAAAGACUAAUCGAACCAUCUAGUAGCUGGUUCCCUCCGAAGUUUCUCUCAGGAUAGCGGGCCGACAAGUUGUUUUGUGCGGUAAAGCGAAUGAUUAGCGCAUUCGGGGGCGUUUAGCCUUUGGGCGAUUCUCAAACUUUCAAUGCGCAAGGGUGCCGCUGCUUAAUUGAGCGGUACCGGUAAAAACGUCGGCCCUGUGGGCCACUUUUGGUAAGCA
rnacentral:rRNA from 1 species